AUGUCAAGAUAUGUUGAUUGUUGCAACCAGAAACCAUUUACUACUUUGCUAACCCAUUUCUCACUCCCAAGUAUUUUUUUAUUUCAGCUCGAGCUUCCUUCUGUAACUCCUACAUUGGUGUUUAAAGACUUGGCGGUAAACCGAGUGCAAUUAGGCAACAGCAGUGCCAAGGUUCAGUUCAGCAAGGAGACCAAGUGCCCCUACAUUGUCCAUUCCUACAACACCCUGGCCUGUCAAACGAGAAGACUCGAUGCAGCCAGCUACGACUAUGGCCCACUUGACAACCAAGCCAAACAACACGCAAAACAAGCCAAGAACAUGCAGAUGAAGUAA
rnacentral:rRNA from 1 species